rnacentral:rRNA from 1 species
CAGUAGCCGCGGUAAUACGGAGGGGGCUAGCGUUGUUCGGAAUUACUGGGCGUAAAGCGCACGUAGGCGGCUUGGUAAGUUAGAGGUGAAAGCCUGGAGCUCAACUCCAGAAUUGCCUUUAAGACUGCCGAGCUAGCAGGUGAGAGAGGCGAGUGGAAUUCCGAGUGUAGAGGUGAAAUUCGUAGAUAUUCGGAAGAACACCAGUGGCGAAGGCGGCUUACUGGCUCAUACUGGACGCUGAGGUGCGAAAGCGUGGGGAGCAAACAGGAUUAGAUACCCCAGUAGUCCCUGUCUCUUAUAC